UACGAAGGGGCUAGCGUUGUUCGGAAUCACUGGGCGUAAAGGGCGCGUAGGCGGCCGAUCAAGUCGGGGGUGAAAGCCUGUGGCUUAACCACAGAAUGGCCUUCGAUACUGUUUGGCUUGAGACCGGAAGAGGUUAGUGGAACUGCGAGUGUAGAGGUGAAAUUCGUAGAUAUUACGCAAGAACACCAGUGGCGAAGGCGGACUCGACUGGCCCGGUUACGUGACGCUGAGGUGCGAA
rnacentral:rRNA from 1 species